GCGAUCUUAGCCCAGUGGUUAGGGUAUCGCCUUCCCAACCUGUUCGCAGGGAAGAGGCGGGGGUCGGGAGUUCGAACCUCCCAGGUCGCA